rnacentral:rRNA from 1 species
UACAGAGGGUGCAAGCGUUAAUCGGAAUUACUGGGCGUAAAGCGUGCGUAGACGGUUACAUAAGUCGGGUGUGAAAGCCCCGGGCUCAACUUGGGAAUUGCAUUCGAGACUGCGUAGCUAGGGUGCGGAAGAGGGAAGCGGAAUUUCCGGUGUAGCGGUGAAAUGCGUAGAUAUCGGAAGGAACACCAGUGGCGAAAGCGGCUUCCUGGUCCAGCACCGACGUUCAGGCACGAAAGCGUGGGGAGCAAACAGG